CGGGUACAAUCAAGCUCCUCGACGUAUUAGGUCGCAAGCCUUUUUCCCCACUGACAGGAGUUUACAAUCCGAAAACCUUCAUCCUCCACGCGGCGUUGCUGCGUCAGGGUUUCCCCCAUUGCGCAAAAUUCCC
rnacentral:rRNA from 1 species